AAUCAACGCUGGCGGCGUGCCUAACACAUGCAAGUCGCACGAGAAAGGGUCUUCGGAUCUGAGUAAAGUGGCGCACGGGUGAGUAACACGUGAAUUAUCUACCUUCGAGUGGGGAAUAACUUCGGGAAACCGAGGCUAAUACCGCAUAAUAUCUACGGAUCGAAGCAGUAAUGCGCUUGAAGAGGAGUUCGCGGCAGAUUAGUUAGUUGGCGGGGUAAUGGCCCACCAAGACGAUGAUCUGUAUCCGGCCUGAGAGGGCGCACGGACACACUGGAACUGAAACACGGUCCAGACUCCUACGGGAGGCAGCAGAGGGGAAUUUUGCGCAAUGGGGGAAACCCUGACGCAGCAACGCCGCGUGGAGGAUGAAGUCUCUUGGGACGUAAACUCCUUUCGAUAGGGAAGAUUAUGACGGUACCUAUAGAAGAAGCCCCGGCUAACUUCGUGCCAGCCGCCGCCGUAA
rnacentral:rRNA from 1 species